rnacentral:rRNA from 1 species
GAUGAACGCUGGCGGCGUGCCUAAUACAUGCAAGUCGAGCGAACGGACGAGAAGCUUGCUUCUCUGAUGUUAGCGGCGGACGGGUGAGUAACACGUGGAUAACCUACCUAUAAGACUGGGAUAACUUCGGGAAACCGUAGCUAAUACCGGAUAAUAUUUUGAACCGCAUGGUUCAAAAGUGAAAGACGGUCUUGCUGUCACUUAUAGAUGGAUCCGCGCUGCAUUAGCUAGUUGGUAAGGUAACGGCUUACCAAGGCAACGAUGCAUAGCCGACCUGAGAGGUGGAUCGGCCACACUGGAACGGAGACACGGUCCAAAUUCCAACGGAGGGCAGCAUUAGGGAACUUUCCGCAAUGGGCGAAAGCCUGACGGAGCAACGCGGCGUGAGUAAUGAAGGUCUCCGGUUCGUAAAACUUUUUUAUAGGGAAGAACAUAUGUGUAAGUAACAGUGCACAUCUUGACGGUACCUAAUCAGAAAGCCACGGCUAACUACGUG